rnacentral:rRNA from 1 species
UACGUAGGGGGCAAGCGUUGUCCGGAUUUAUUGGGCGUAAAGAGCGUGUAGGCGGCCUGGUAGGUCAGCUGUGAAAACUCGAGGCUCAACCUCGAGACGCCGGUUGAAACCAUCAGGCUAGAGUCCGGAAGAGGAGAGUGGAAUUCCCGGUGUAGCGGUGAAAUGCGCAGAUAUCGGGAGGAACACCGGUGGCGAAAGCGGCUCACUGGAUCGAAACUGACGCUGAGGUGCGAAAGCUAGGGUAGCAAACGGGG